rnacentral:tRNA from 1 species
UCCGCAGUAGCACAUUGGUAAAUUUCUAAGUUGAAAUUCCGGGUUCGAACCCCGGCUGCGGAA